GUAAGCGUAGCGAUACGUUGAGCUAACCAGUACUAAUGAACCGUGAGGCUUAACCUGACAACACCGAAAGUGUUUUG
rnacentral:rRNA from 1 species